rnacentral:rRNA from 1 species
GAUGAACGCUGGCGGCGUGCUUAACACAUGCAAGUCGAACGGGAAACCUUUUAAUGAAGCUUCGGCAGAUUUAGCUGGUUUCUAGUGGCGGACGGGUGAGUAACGCGUGGGUAACCUGUCUUAUACAGGGGGAUAACAGUCAGAAAUGACUGCUAAUACCGCAUAAGCGCACAGGACCGCAUUGUCCGGUGUGAAAAACUCCGGUGGUAUAAGAUGGACCCGCGUUGGAUUAGCUUGUUGGUAGGGUAACGGCUCACCAAGGCGACGAUCCAUAGCCGGCAUGAGAGGGUGAACGGACACAUUGGGACUGAGACACGGCCCAGACGCCUACGGGGGGCAGCAGUGGGGAAUAUUGCACAAUGGGGGAAACACUGAUGCAGCGACGCCGCGUGAAGGAAGAAGUAUCUCGGUAUGUAAACUUCUAUCAGCAGGGAAGAUAGUGACGGUACCUGACUAAGAAGCCCCGGCUAACUACGUG